UAACCUGAUACUGGAAGUAGCUCCCCUGGCUGUAGUUUGCAGGUGCACAGUUGAUCCUAAAUGGGAAGAAUGCUGAAGACAUCCAUUGGUGUUUUAUUCAUGUUCUUGCUGCAACUGGACUGGGUCAGUGGAGGAGAGAAUGUGGUUCAGCGUCCUCCUUCCCUGAGUGUCCAGGAGGGGAACAGCUGUGAUAUGAAUUGUUCUUAUACAGACAGUACCUCAGACUACUUUCCUUGGUAUAAGCAAGAAGCUGGAAAAGGUCCCCAGCUCAUUAUACACAUUCGUUCAUAUCAGGACAAAACUGAAGAUGGAAGAUUCACUGUUUCAUUGAAUAAGACAGUCAAACAGUUCUCCCUGCACAUUGAGGACACCCAACCUGGAGACUCAGCUGUCUACUUCUGCGCAGCAAGUGCACAUUGCUUCUCAGACACCUGUGACCUGUACGCAAACCUGGAAGUAGAGCCACUGCUAUUCUUUAGGACAACCUUCAAGCAUAGAUAGUAUCUGUCAUAUUUUGUCUGCAAGUGACAACUUAUGUGUUGGAUUGUUAAAACCACAUAG